GACGAACGCUGGCGGCGUGCUUAACACAUGCAAGUCGAACGGAAAGGCUCCAGCUUGCUGGAGUACUCGAGUGGCGAACGGGUGAGUAACACGUGGGUAAUCUGCCCUGCACUCUGGGAUAAGCCUGGGAAACUGGGUCUAAUACUGGAUAUGACCUUUCUCCCUAUGGGGUUUGGUGGAAAGUUUUUCGGUGUAGGAUGAGCCCGCGGCCUAUCAGCUUGUUGGUGGGGUGAUGGCCUACCAAGGCGACGACGGGUAGCCGGCCUGAGAGGGUGAUCGGCCACAUUGGGACUGAGAUACGGCCCAGACUCCUACGGGAGGCAGCAGUGGGGAAUAUUGCACAAUGGGCGGAAGCCUGAUGCAGCGACGCCGCGUGAGGGAUGACGGCCUUCGGGUUGUAAACCUCUUUCAGCAGGGACGAAGCGUAAGUGACGGUACCUGCAGAAGAAGCACCGGCUAACUACGUG
rnacentral:rRNA from 1 species